CAAAGAAUAUUUUAAGUA
rnacentral:tRNA from 1 species